AAGGAACCUCAGAGAGUGUUGCAUUUAAAUUGCACAUUGAACUUUGACAUUUUUCUGCUGCAGCGAUAGGAGUGCACCUGCAAUGGCGGCGCCACUGCCACUGAUGGGAGUUAGGAUAAGGCACACACACACACACACGGCAAAUGGAAGGACCUGCCUGCCUGCCUGGCUCCUGGAAGCCCAAUUUAUUGGCCAAAUAUGCAGUUUUUAUAGAUCUGACCUUGUAAGUAUUUCCCUUUCCGAAAGAGAUAGCCCUUCUUUGAUUGCACAACGGAAAUUAUAUCGCGUAGCUGAGCCGUUCCAGGGUGGGUUAUCAUCAGCACAGCGGAGAGGUGGGCUCUGUCUCUCUCUCUCUCUCUCUCUCUCUUACAGAGUAGCUUAGCCGUCCCAGGGUGGGCUAUCAUCAGCGCUGCAGAUAGAAGUGGACUCUCUCUGUGUCUCUCUCUCCCAGUGAAACUCUGUUGGGGUAUGAUU